GAGGGUGUAGCUCAGUGGGAAGGUGUGUGCUUAGCAUGCACAAGGUCCUGGGUUCGAUCCCCAGCACCUCCA
rnacentral:tRNA from 1 species